rnacentral:misc_RNA from 1 species
GAUGAAGAACGCAGCGAAAUGCGAUACUUGGUGUGAAUUGCAGAAUUCCGUGAAUCAUCGAGUCUUUGAACGCACAUUGCGCCCCCUGGUAUUCCGGGGGGCAUGCCUGUCCGAGCGUCAUUGCUGCCCUCAAGCACGGCUUGUGUGUUGGGCCUCCGUCCUCCUCCCGGGGGACGGGCCCGAAAGGCAGCGGCGGCACCGCGUCCGGUCCUCGAGCGUAUGGGGCUUCGUCACCCGCUCUUGUAGGCCCGGCCGGCGCUUGCCGACACAUCAAUCUUUUUUCCAGGUUGACCUCGGAUCAGGUAGGGAUACCCGCUGAACUUAAGCAUAUCAAUAAGCGGAGGA